rnacentral:rRNA from 1 species
GACGAACCACACGAACGUUAUUCGGAAUUACUGGGCGUAAAGCGUGCGCAGGCGGUUUUGUAAGCCAGAUGGGAAAUCCCCGGGCUUAACCUGGGAAUGGCAUUUGGGACUGCAAGGCUUGAGUGCGGCAGAGGAGACUGGAAUUCCUGGUGUAGCAGUGAAAUGCGUAGAUAUCAGGAGGAACACCGAUGGCGAAGGCAGGUCUCUGGGCUGACACUGACGCUCAUGCACGAAAGCGUGGGGAGCAAACAGG